AGAGUUUGAUCCUGGCUCAGGACGAACGCUGGCGGCGUGCUUAACACAUGCAAGUCGAACGAUGAACCAGGGCUUGCCCUGGGAAUUAGUGGCGAACGGGUGAGUAACACGUGGGCAACCUGCCCCAGACACCGGGAUAACCAUCCGAAAGGAUGGCUAAUACCGGAUAUGACCACUUUGGGCAUCCAACGGUGGUGGAAAGGAUUCUGGUCUGGGAUGGGCCCGCGGCCUAUCAGCUAGUUGGUGGGGUAAUGGCCUACCAAGGCGACGACGGGUAGCCGGCCUGAGAGGGCGACCGGCCACACUGGGACUGAGACACGGCCCAGACUCCUACGGGAGGCAGCAGUGGGGAAUAUUGCGCAAUGGGCGAAAGCCUGACGCAGCAACGCCGCGUGCGGGAUGACGGCCUUCGGGUUGUAAACCGCUUUCAGCAGGGACGAAGCGAAAAUGACGGUACCUGCAGAAGAAGCACCGGCUAACUACGUGCCAGCAGCCGCGGUAAUACGUAGGGUGCAAGCGUUGUCCGGAUUUAUUGGGCGUAAAGAGCUCGUAGGCGGUUUGUCGCGUCGGAUGUGAAAACCCAAUGGCUUAACCUUGGGCCUGCAUUCGAUACGGGCAAACUAGAGUGUGGUAGGGGAGACUGGAACUCCUGGUGUAGCGGUGGAAUGCGCAGAUAUCAGGAAGAACACCGAUGGCGAAGGCAGGUCUCUGGGCCAUAACUGACGCUGAGGAGCGAAAGCGUGGGGAGCGAACAGGAUUAGAUACCCUGGUAGUCCACGCCGUAAACGGUGGGCGCUAGGUGUGGGGAUUGUUUCCACGAUCUCCGUGCCGUAGCUAACGCAUUAAGCGCCCCGCCUGGGGAGUACGGCCGCAAGGCUAAAACUCAAAGGAAUUGACGGGGGC
rnacentral:rRNA from 1 species